rfam:Babjeviella inositovora NRRL Y-12698 unplaced genomic scaffold BABINscaffold_1, whole genome shotgun sequence.
GGCCGUUUGGCCGAGUGGUCUAAGGCGUCUGACUCAAGAUCAGAUCUCGUAAGAGGCAAGCGUUCGAACCGCUUAGCGGUCA